AUGAUGACAAGAAAAUAGUACCGCGAAACAUGCCAACUUUGCCACAUAGGAUAACUUUGCCCAAAGAUCCAUUCUUAAGCAAACCUUUGAUGUACAGAGUUAUUUUAAUAUUAUGUCAA